rnacentral:rRNA from 1 species
UACGUAGGGGGCAAGCGUUGUCCGGAAUCAUUGGGCGUAAAGAGCGUGUAGGCGGUCCGUUAAGUCGGCUGUGAAAGUCCAGGGCUCAACCCUGGGAUGCCGGCCGAUACUGGCGGACUAGAGUCCGGAAGAGGUGAGUGGAAUUCCCGGUGUAGCGGUGAAAUGCGCAGAUAUCGGGAGGAAUACCGGUGGCGAAGGCGGCAUCCUGGACCGGCAUUGACGCUGAGGAGCGAAAGCCAGGGGAGCAAAGCGGG